CAGUCCUGUUUACCCUGGACCUACUAUUUUUGUGCUCACCUCCCUGGUUCUCAGAUUCUUGGCUCUGCAACCCAGCUGCCACGGCUACUUCUGGCCCUUUACUUGGUGAACCUUGGACUUUCCUUUUUAGACCACAGCCUCUCACAUGUUUCUGACUCAACUGGUUCCAGCAGUGCCAACUUUCCUCUCGAUCUCAGCCAGACUUGUGUGACUUCAGCAACCUGUGUGUCAUGGAUGCACCACUUCUACUCCUCCACCAACAAACAAAUGAGUCCGGAACUAAGGUUGGCCACUUCCGGUGUCCGCAUUCUCUCCAGUCCAGAAGAUGCAGAAACAAGGGCCUGCUCCCUUCCUCUGCCUCUCCACCUCUCACCACCUUCUUCCUGAGGGCCCAGGACUCAAAGGUUAUUUCCCCUAAAAGCUAAGCAGGCCACUUGGAUUUCUUUUCCAGAAGCUUCAAAGAUGGAGAGCUCUGUGCUUAAUGGGAAUCUCCUGUGGUAGGAAGAACUACAAUCUGAAAAAGGUAUUAUCAUCUCCAUUUUAUAAAAGAAGAUGCAGAUGCUCAAAGAGAAUAAGCCAAGAUCCCAUACAUCAUGAAUGAGAGGAUCCGGACUGAACACCCCAUCCAAGUUCAAGCAUAUUCUUUUUCUGCUCUGCUACAUGGGCCCCAUUUCUCACUCUUACAGGGGCAGAUUGGGAUUUUCACUCUCUGCUCUGGACAAAUACAGAGGAUCCUGGAGAUAUGGGUUGGAGGGAAGGUCAAUCUGCAGGGUUUCUCUGACAAGGACUGAUCACUCCUGGCCCUCAGGCUACAGCGUGUUUCUCCUUUCUUUCUUGCUAGAAAGCAUAGUGUUCAAGGUGAUUUUGUUUUGUACCUGUAAAAUAGAGGACUGGCCGCCUAUCAAAGAUACUGACCAAGGACUCAUUCAUGGUCCUUUCAAGCUAAGUAUCUUUUAGAGCAGUUGUGAUUCAACCUGAGCAUAUGGAAUGGUGCCAUCCUUAUGUUAGAGCAGUUCUCCCAUGGAAUUAUAUUUUCUGGUCUAACAUUUACCAACUUUUUGAAUAUUUCACUAUCUCAAUUAAGUCAUCUAAUUCAGUCUAUAUUAAAUCUAGCCCUUUGCCCUACUUCAAGGGACCUGCAUUAUUUUCUCUGCAUGUUUUGAAAUGCUAUCUCUCAAACACUCUGAAUUCUGAAAAUUCCUGAUGUUGUCCAAUGAUGCCUCUGGGCCAUUCACAUCCUGAUCUCCUAGGAUUGCACAGGAACCAGACGGAAGUGAGACUCUAGCUGGAGAGGCUUAUGGAAAGAAAGAAGUUGGCAUCUACUCAGACCAAGGAAACUGGGUUUGGUGAAAUGUUUGGAGCCACUGCUGGCUGUAGCAGGAGAUGAUCUUGAUGACUCCAUGUACUGAGUUCUGCAGUGUGUAGAACUAGGCUAAGUGGUCAUUUGUCAGGCAUCUUUCCGAUGCAACUGAUAGAAAUCUCACUAGCUAGAGGAGAGGAGGAAUUAUUGGUCCCAGCCCAAAAUUCCAGAGAUAGUUUUCAACUUUCCCUGGAUCCAAGUGUUUAUAUGAUAUCACCAGGAAACUGUGCCCAUCUCUUUGAUUUGCUUCCUCUCUCCAGAGAGGUAAUGAGAUGGCUACCAGUAACUGUAGCUUAUUUUCCACAGAAACUCCAGUGAAGAAUUUCCUAAUUGUCCCAUCAAAAGUCCUAGAAACUCCAGUGAAGAAUUCCCUAGUUGUCCCAUCAGAAGUCCUAGAAAUUCCAGUGAAGAAUUCCCUAGUUGUCCCAUCAAAAGUCUUUGUUUUAUACACACACACUCUCCAAGAGGAGGCUCCCUGCAAAUAGAGGACUGGCCACUAAUCAAAGAUGCUGACCAAGGACUCAUUCAUUGCCCUUUGAAGCUAAGUAUCUUUUAGAACAGGACAGCCUCUCUGUUGUCCCGAAUAGGUUUAUGUAGAGAACAUCUCUAGCCUGACCUCCAAAUCCACACCACUCUUUUCUCUACAGCUGAGAGAUUGAUCCGCAUGGACACACACGGGUCCUUUUCCCCUAAGCUCUCUUUUUCUGCGGGGGAGUACUGUCAAUAGGAAGAACAACGCGAGACUGGAGGAAGGGGGCAGAAUGAAGCUAGGAAGUUCUUUUCCCCCACCAAUCCCUUUUGCCUGCAGAUCCACCCCUCCUCCAGUAAUGGCUUGCAAAUCUUGCCUCUACACAGAGGGAUGGAAUCAAUGCCUCUACCAUGAGUGGUCCAUAAAAAUCUACCUUUAUGGUUUUCUAUACUCGUCAACACCUCUGUGGAAGGGUUAUUUGGUAAUCCAGUUUGGAAGUAUCGUCUGUUUCCGGAAUCUUGACUGAUACAUCUAACAUAUCCAACCCUUAAUCAAAUCCAUGUUUUUCAUUGGGCAGACCUGAGUUACACUCCUGCUCCUAGAACAAAGGUCUGAAAUCAGCUCCAUCUAAGCCACAAGUACUGAGAGUGGAGGAGGGAUAGUGUCCCAAAGGAAUGGACAAAAACAAUUUACUAUUACUACAUUUAGCAAAAUAGUUAAGAAAGAAUUCUUCAGCCAGGCGUGGUGGUGCACACCCGUAAUCCCAGCACUAGGGAGGCUGAGGCAG